CGCCAGACUCCUACGGGAGGCAGCAGUGGGGGAUAUUGCACAAUGGGGGAAACCCUGAUGCAGCGACGCCGCGUGUGGGAAGACGGUCCUCUGGAUUGUAAACCACUGUCCCCAGGGACGAAGAUGACGGUACCUGGGGAGGAAGCUCCGGCUAACUACGUGCCAGCAGCCGCGGUAAUACGUAGGGGGCGAGCGUUAUCCGGAUUCACUGGGUGUAAAGGGAGCGUAGACGGCCAAGCAAGCCAGGGGUGAAAGCCCGGGGCCCAACCCCGGGACUGCCCUUGGAACUGCACGGCUGGAGUGCGGGAGGGGCAGGCGGAAUUCCUGGUGUAGCGGUGAAAUGCGUAGAUAUCAGGAGGAACACCGGUGGCGAAGGCGGCCUGCUGGACUGCAACUGACGUUGAGGCCCGAAAGCGUGGGGAGCAAACAGGAUUAGAUACCCGAGUAGAU
rnacentral:rRNA from 1 species